AGGUACUUUAGGAUAAAGAUAGAUCAUACAUUAAUGAGAUAUGUUAAUAUUUAGGAAAUGAAAUCAUAUAAAAGUAAUAAAUUAGUGGUUAGAGAAACCUAAAUUAUAUAUAACUAAGGAAAUAUGCAGCAUUUAAUAUUAUCAAAAUUGUUUAUUAACUGCAUCGAUUUAGAGAUGACAACAAACAGGUUCAGAAAUAGUUUUACUAAAAUUGAACUCGUCUC
rnacentral:lncRNA from 1 species